AUUGAACGCUGGCGGCAGGCCUAACACAUGCAAGUCGAACGGUAGCACAGAGAGCUUGCUCUCGGGUGACGAGUGGCGGACGGGUGAGUAACGUCUGGGAAACUGCCCGAUGGAGGGGGAUAACUACUGGAAACGGUAGCUAAUACCGCAUAACGUCGCAAGACCAAAGUGGGGGACCUUCGGGCCUCACACCAUCGGAUGUGCCCAGAUGGGAUUAGCUAGUAGGUGGGGUAAUGGCUCACCUAGGCGACGAUCCCUAGCUGGUCUGAGAGGAUGACCGGCCACACGGGAACUGAGACAUGGUCCAGACUCCUACGGGAGGCAGCAGGGGGGAAUAUUGCACAAUGGGCGCAAGCCUGAUGCAGCCAUGCCGCGUGUAUGAAGAAGGCAUUCGGGUUGUAAAGUACUUUCAGCGGGGAGGAAGGCGGUGAAGUUAAUAGCUUCACCGAUUGACGUUACCCGCAGAAGAAGCACCGGCUAACUCCGUGCCAGCCGCCGCAGUAA
rnacentral:rRNA from 1 species